rnacentral:tRNA from 1 species
AUUCUUUUAGUAUAAAUAAAUAUUUUUGACUUCCAAUCAAAAGAUCUUAAUAAGAGAAAGAAUA